rnacentral:rRNA from 1 species
GACGAACGCUGGCGGCGUGCCUAAUACAUGCAAGUAGAACGCUGAAGGAGGAGCUUGCUCUUCUGGAUGAGUUGCGAACGGGUGAGUAACGCGUAGGUAACCUGCCUGGUAGCGGGGGAUAACUAUUGGAAACGAUAGCUAAUACCGCAUAACAGUAGAUGUUGCAUGACAUUUGCUUAAAAGGUGCAAUUGCACCACUACCAGAUGGACCUGCGUUGUAUUAGCUAGUUGGUGGGGUAACGGCUCACCAAGGCGACGAUACAUAGCCGACCUGUGAGGGUGAUCGGCCACACUGGGACUGAGACACGGCCCAGACUCCUACGGGAGGCAGCAGUAGGGAAUCUUCGGCAAUGGACGGAAGUCUGACCGGGCAACGCCGCGUGAGUGAAGAAGGUUUUCGGAUCGUAAAGCUCUGUUGUAAGAGAAGAACGAGUGUGAGAGUGGAAAGUUCACACUGUGACGGUAUCUUACCAGAAAGGGACGGCUAACUACGUG